rnacentral:rRNA from 1 species
ACUCAAAUGAAUUGACGGGGGCCCGCACAAGCAGUGGAGCAUGUGGUUUAAUUCGAUGCAACGCGAAGAACCUUACCCAGGCUCGAAAUGCAGAUGGCGAUACCAGAGAUGGUAUUUUUCGUAAGAACGUCUGUAUAGGUGCUGCAUGGCUGUCGUCAGCUCGUGCCGUGAGGUGUUGGGUUAAGUCCCGCAACGAGCGCAACCCUUAUCAUUAGUUGCCAACAUUUAAGGUGGGGACUCUAAUGAGACUGCCUAGGUUAACUAGGAGGAAGGUGAGGAUGACGUCAAGUCCGCAUGGCCUUUAUGUCUGGGGCUACACACGUGCUACAAUGGUCGGUACAGAAGGCAGCAAGACCGCAAGGUGGAGCAAAUCCGAAAAACCGAUCUCAGUUCAGAUUGUAGUCUGCAACUCGACUACAUGAAGUUGGAAUUGCUAGUAAUGACGUGUCAGCAACAGCGUCGUGAAUACGUUCCCGGGCCUUGCACACACCGCCCGU